rnacentral:tRNA from 1 species
AUUGCUAAAGGAUAAUAGCUCAUCCAUUGGUCUUAGGAACCAAAAACUCUCGGUGCAAAUCCAAGUAGCAAUU